CUUGGCGGCCGUAGCGCGGUGGUCCCACCUGACCCCAUACCGAACUCAGAAGUGAAACGCCGUAGCGCCGAUGGUAGUGUGGGGUCUCCCCAUGCGAGAGUAGGGAACUGCCAGGC
rnacentral:rRNA from 1 species